rnacentral:rRNA from 1 species
ACUCCUACGGGAGGCAGCAGUGGGGAAUAUUGGACAAUGGGGGAAACCCUGAUCCAGCCAUGCCGCGUGUGUGAAGAAGGCCUUCGGGUUGUAAAGCACUUUCAGUGGGGAGGAAAGGUUGUUGGUUAAUACCUAACAGCUGUGACGUUACCCACAGAAGAAGCACCGGCUAACUCCGUGCCAGCAGCCGCGGUAAUACGGAGGGUGCGAGCGUUAUCCGGAUUUAUUGGGUUUAAAGGGUCCGUAGGCGGAUUAAUAAGUCAGUGGUGAAAUCCCAUCGCUUAACGAUGGAACUGCCAUUGAUACUGUUAGUCUUGAAUGAGGGUGCAGUGGUUGGAAUGUGUAGUGUAGCGGUGAAAUGCAUAGAUAUUACACAGAACACCGAUUGCGAAGGCAGAUCACUAACCCUAAAUUGACGCUGAGGGACGAAAGCGUGGGGGAGCGAACAGGAUUAGAUACCCUGUAGGCUCUG